CGUCUGGCGUACCUAACGCUUGCCAGGAAGUGGAAGCAAACAGAGUGGCGGAAGGCCGGUAAGGAAAAAGGAGGCAGCGUUUUCUACUUUUUCCUCCUAAAUGUGUUCCUUUUCUUUGUGAGAAACCAGGGCAGAAAGAAACAAAAGGCCGGAAACGACCCCUACACACACACAGACAGACACACACACACACAGCCCCUGCCUCACUGCAGUUGGCACCUUGAGAGGCGGCCUUUCCUCCCCAAGAAACCUGGGGGGCGAGGGUGUUGCUGGCGGCGGGGGCAGGGAAGGCUGUGGAGCCCAAAGGCCCGUCUGCCCUCCCGCGGGCCGGACAGAUGUGCAGGGAGCGGGGCGGGCUGCACCUGCCGCGCAGGACCCGGCCUGCCCUGCCAGGUGGACGCUCUGAUCGCGGACGUGGGCUCUGGGCAGGGCCACGCCGGCUCCGGCCGCACACGGCGGACGCCCGGGCGGGGGGCCGACGCCGCGACUCGGGCUCUUUCCUCUCUGGGCCGCGGCCGCCUUCUCCGCCUGGCCACGCUCCGGCUGGCUCCGCACCGCGCCGUUAAGGGUCCCUCCUCUUCGACCGAUCCGGUCCUUCGCUCUCUUGCCUCCGGGCCCCGAGACCCUCCAGCCCCAAGGACACCGAGGACACGCCAUCUGCUGCUCCUGUCCUCCCCUCACGGCCCGGCCGCUCGGGGAGCAGGCGACGCCCUGUCCAUCUUCGCAGCCGCGGAGCCUCCCGGUGGCCGCUUGGACCAGGGCUUCGUAAGUGGUGGUCGCCGCGAGUUCGGCUCAACAGCCAAAUGCGGGAGCGCGGGCUGCGUGCGGCACACCCGGCUCUUCCCCGCAGAAGAGACGGCAGAGCGCCCAGAGGACCACGGAAAGGAAGGAGACUCGGAAAAGGCAAAACCUCGCUGCCGGGCCUGCAGAGAGCGGGCAGGGCAAGAGAAACGGUGUUUCAAGAGGAUCCUUCCAGCGAUGCAAGGGCAAGAGAAGCCACGGGUUGGAUGCUGGUUGUAA
rnacentral:lncRNA from 1 species